GCACUCGCGGCGAGGCACCGUCCCACUCCCCGCCCCCGGGAUGCAGGGCGCGCGCGGCUAUUCGGCAGCUCAAGCCCCGCCCCCACCGUCUCCAUUCUCUGCUCACCCCUCUCCCAGGACACUGCGCAGGCGACACGACGCCCCGCCUGACGCCCCGCCUUUCUCCCCGCCCUGCCGCGCCCCAGGGACGCAGCGCGCACAGGGACGCAGCGCGCACGCAACCGCGUUUCCGGCGCUACCUGGCUGCUGUGCCCCGCAGCUUGUGGCGCUUGUGGACCGCGUGGGCCUGCGGGAGAUCGAGUUGGUCAGUGGAUCUUGCUGA
rnacentral:lncRNA from 1 species